rnacentral:rRNA from 1 species
GAUGAACGCUGGCGGCGUGCCUAAUACAUGCAAGUCGAGCGAACAGAUGAGGAGCUUGCUCCUCUGACGUUAGCGGCGGACGGGUGAGUAACACGUGGAUAACCUACCUAUAAGACUGGGAUAACUUCGGGAAACCGGAGCUAAUACCGGGUAAUAUAUUGAACCGCAUGGUUCAAUAGUGAAAGACGGUUUUGCUGUCACUUAUAGAUGGAUCCGCGCCGCAUUAGCUAGUUGGUAAGGUAACGGCUUACCAAGGCAACGAUGCGUAGCCGACCUGAGAGGGUGAUCGGCCACACUGGAACUGAGACACGGUCCAGACUCCUACGGGAGGCAGCAGUAGGGAAUCUUCCGCAAUGGGCGAAAGCCUGACGGAGCAACGCCGCGUGAGUGAUGAAGGUCUUCGGAUCGUAAAACUCUGUUAUUAGGGAAGAACAAAUGUGUAAGUAACUAUGCACGUCUUGACGGUACCUAAUCAGAAAGCCACGGCUAACUACAUG